rnacentral:hammerhead_ribozyme from 1 species
CCACUGUUGAAGAGUCUUAGAAUAGGACGAAACGGCCUUUCAGUGC